UACGGAGGGGGCUAGCGUUGUUCGGAAUUACUGGGCGUAAAGCGUGCGCAGGCGGUUUUGUAAGCCAGAUGUGAAGUCCCCGGGCUUAACCUGGGAAUGGCAUUUGGGACUGCAAGGCUGGAGUGUGGCAGAGGAGACUGGAAUUCCUGGUGUAGCAGUGAAAUGCGUAGAUAUCAGGAGGAAUACCGAUGGCGAAGGCAGGUCUCUGGGCUGACACUGACGCUCAUGCACGAAAGCGUGGGGAGCAAACAGG
rnacentral:rRNA from 1 species